UUCCAGACUCCUACGGGAGGCAGCAGUGGGGGAUAUUGCACAAUGGGGGGAACCCUGAUGCAGCGACGCCGCGUGGGUGAAGAAGCGCCUCGGCGCGUAAAGCCCUGUCAGCAGGGAAGAAAAUGACGGUACCUGAAGAAGAAGCCCCGGCUAACUACGUGCCAGCAGCCGCGGUAAUACGUAGGGGGCAAGCGUUAUCCGGAUUUACUGGGUGUAAAGGGGGCGCAGACGGCGAUGCAAGCCAGGAGUGAAAGCCCGGGGCCCAACCCCGGGCAUGCAUUGGAAACUGGCGGGCUGGAGUGCCGGAGAGGUAAGCGGAAUUCCUAGUGUAGCGGUGAAAUGCGUAGAUAUCAGGAGGAACACCGGCGGCGAAGGCGGCCUGCUGGACCGCGACUGACGUUGAGGCUCGAAAGCGUGGGGAGCGAACAGGAUUAGAUACCCCAGUAGU
rnacentral:rRNA from 1 species